AAAACUAGGCAGAGAACCACAUCCUCAUGAGCUUUUUGAGGCCACACAUAAGAGAAAGGGGACGGAGGAGCUUGUUGAUGCGAGGUCAAAAGCUAUUUAUGAUAAAUACGUACAACUGAAGGAGGCUGCAACACAGCAACAGGAGGGAAGCAAUGAGCCGACGCCUAUAAAUGAGGCCCAGCUGUACUACGAAGCGGUUGGCGGGCA